ensembl:lncRNA
GGCAGAGGGCUCCACUGGGUUGGCAAGCACCCCUUCCCCCAGGGCCGUGGGGAGACCCAGGUGGCCCCUCUGUGCCCCUGCAGAAGUCAGGGCUCUGGGCUGGGGCUGGGGCUGGGGCUGGGAUUCCAUCGUCCUUAGUCAAAACCCAGGGCUGCCACUUUCUGCUCCCAGCCUUGAUCAAGCCCCUGGUCAAGCCAGUUUCCCAGCUGUAGAUGCGUAGCCGUCAAGCCUCCUGGCCCUGGGGGUCCUAAGGAAAGCUACGUGGCCUCCUCAGCCCCCAGGGCAAGACGGAGGAGGUGCCACGUCCAAGCUACCCCAGCCCCGCCCACUGGCCUUUCCACCUGCAGAGCUCCCCACCCCUCCCCACCCUGGUGGCACCCACACAGCCAGGGGGCUGCCAGGGAGGGACAGCUUGUUUCCAGGCUGUGUGUGAGAGUGUGCGGCCAGUGAGUGGCCAUGAGUGACCAAGACUCGUGCCCAGACCUAAGGGAGGGCUGACUCUAGAGCAAUCUCUUGAUGCCUGUCCUGGCCCAGGACCUGGUCCUACAGUCAGGGCCACCUGCGGAGGGAGGGGACAUUUCUCCCCUUGGCUGGAGUCAGAAACACGCCUACAGACACAUACACAUGCAACCGGACACACACACACACGCAGACCCACAGACAUAAGGACACUCAGAUGCAGGGUCAGACCUACGUGCACACACGCACACAUAGACAUGCACAUACAUAUUCACAGACACACACACAGGCAGACACACUCGUACGUAAACAUACACACAUGUACAACUCGCCCUGCUCCUGGGAGUCGCCCCAGGCCCACUCUUUCCUCCCUCAAGGCCUCGGGGACGCGUUCAUUAAUUGGUCCAGGGUCCCAGCACUGAGACAGUUGGCUCUUCAUUAUUUUCCUCACAGGCUCCGGCUCCCUGAGGAGCCGCCCUGGCCCCGGGGGACUCUGGGAUUAAACAGAGGCCCGGUGCUGUCUCCUGGUGCAGGAAGCAGCUCCCAGCCUGAACCCUCCUCCUGGCCCCCCUGCACUCCCCUGCAGGCUGCCUCGGGAGGAGCAGGGGCCCAGGGCUCCGCAGGGUCAGGGCGUUGCUCAUUUCCCCGGGGACUGUGACACACGCCCAUGCACACGCACAUGCAUGCACCCUCCUCGUCCCUGUGUUGGUGGCUCUGAGACCAGCACAGGCAAGGUCAAGGAGACCCGGACUCACCCUGAGGACUUCUGGGAGGGCAGGCAAACUAGCCCAAGUGUGGAGUCCGCUGCCCGCAGCCUGGCCAGCCCAGCCUUCAACCCCCUGGGAUCUGUGGAAUGGGAUCACCAGGCCCAGUUCAUCCUGCAGCCACCCAACCUGGUCACCGCGGGAAAGUCCCAGCAGGGAGCAGGAACCCCAAAGGGAGGAGGAGGCUGGGAGACGGUCAGCCGAGAUGCUGCGUUCAGGCUCCAACGUGCUGUGAUGGUGGCGCUGCUGGGCAGAUGGUGAAGAACAGGGACUCGUCCCACUGGGGGACCUCCACAGGCAGGUGGAUGGCAGCCAGCAAUGGGCCAGCUGCAGCCAGGAGUCCAGACAAAGGCACGGCUCAGGCCCCUGCCCCGCAGCCAAGGCUGAGGGCAGGGAGGGGUCGAGGCCGCGGCAGGGAGCUCCAGCCAGGGCACAGCUGCAGCUCUGGGGGAGGGCUGGGCUGGGCAGAGCUGGGCACCAGCCCCUCCGCCACACACUGGGCCCGUGCUCUCCCUCCUUGCCCCCCGCCACAAGCCCCAGGGCUGGGUCCUCGGUCAGCACGCCGUCUGCCCAUAUCUGGCCAGGCCCAACGACGGCCAGGGUUCUGACAGUUGCUGUCCAGGGUCUGCUUGGGGUGAGCCCUGGUCCGAAGGCCCCGGAGCAGCACUGGCUGGGGGUCACGGAGUGUGCAGGCCCCGCUGACAUGUGGCACUGCUGGGUCACAGCACGGGAGGCCCGCCAAGCACCCUUGGAUUCGGCUUCAGAACCCUCUAGCCACCCUGAGAUCCCCCACCAGCCCGCCCCCAGCAUUCUGGGGAAGAUCCAGCAAAGAAAGUCCCCCUUUCUCCCCCCUUUUCUGUUUUCUCUCUUGCUGAUUCGUUUUUUUCACAUGGAGAGAACCUGCACAGAUUCAUUUCAGCAAAUACGUAUUGGCCGAUCCUGGGAGCUCUACAAACGCUCUGUGCUCUCUCCAGCCUCUGAGCCUUUGCACAUGCUGUUCCCUGCCCUGAGCCUCUCGCCUCCCCUUGCAUGGAGACCAAGGCCCCAGGGGGAGUCUCCCAGCAAGGACGAGGCAGGAGGGGCUGACGCCCAGAGGCCACUGCCCAGGCCGUGGGAUGGGGCAGCCCUGCCCCACGUAGGCUGCGCUGGCUCCAGGCGAGCAGGGUGCAGGCUAGGCAGGCUGCGGGCCUCCUUGUUACAGGCCGGCCCUGGGGUGGCCUCCAGAGCCUCUUGCCCAGGCUCUCCAUGGUCUGUGGGUCUGAAGUGGGGACAGUCGCCCCCUCACUCCCUCGUGCUCUUGCUCGCUCCACUCAACCUCACUUCUCACUCUGCGCCCUGUGCUCCCAGCACCAGGCAGUGGGACACACAGAUGCCCAAGGAGAAGGCCAUCUCUACAGUCCCAGCUGCUCCCGACUGACCCCCACCCACAGGCUUCCUCUCAGGGGUCAUCCCGCCAAGCUCUCUGUGCCCAGGCCCGCUGUCCCCCCAGCGUGCCUGGGCUCCUUGGGCACUGUCCACAAAGCACUGUUGGGGGAAGGGACAGAGGACCCCAUGGGACCCCCAGGGGCAGCUGCAGGUGAUGACUGUGGCUUUGCCUGCCCGCUACUCUUGCCCCUCCAUUCACCUCUACCCUCCACGGGGUGGGGUCUGAAUGAUGUAGGCCCUCGCUGCUGCAAGCUCAGGCACUGCUGUCGGUGUCAGGCCCAAUGGGGUUAGUUCUGGGGUUUGAUGGCAGCCCCUCUUCCUCCUAGGGAGUAGGGGGGUAGAUGAGAGCAUAGGAUAGCAGCCUAGAGCUGCAGGGAGAGAUAUUAGGGAGACAUUCCCUGCUGGGAAUGAGGUGGACGCGAGGAAAAGACAGAUGGAAAGAAGUAGCCGUUCUUUGAGCUCCUGGAUGCAGCUGUGUCUGAAACCCACCCCCUGGACUUUUCAGCCAUGAGCAACAAUAAAUACUCCUUUUCUUUAGGGCUUUUUGAGUUUUUUUGUCAUUUGCAGCCAAACUACAGCAACUAUAUCUCUGGUUCUCCUGUCCCCUCUCUCCUUCCUGCCACCUGGGCCCUGGGCCCAAAUCAGCUCUGUCCCUAAAGGCAGGGAAAUCAGACUCAGCUUUUAUUCCAAAUCAGGGGCCUCGGGAGCCAUUCUGAUCCUACCCAGGCCCCGAGCUCAUCAGGACGCACCCAGAACUGGCUCAGAAUGUCACCAGGAAAAAAGAG